GAUGAACGCUGGCGGCGUGCCUAAUACAUGCAAGUCGAGCGAACAGGCGAGUUACUUUCUCCUCUGACGUUAGCUGCGUACGAGUGAGGAACACUUGAAUAGCCUACCUAUAAAUCUCGGAGAACGUCGGAAAGCCGAGUCUAAUACAGGAUAAUAUCUUAAACCGCAGGAUUACAUAGUGAAAGGCUGGUUUGCUGUCACUUAUAUAUUGAUCCUCGUCGCAUUAGCUAGUUUGUAAGGUAACUGCUUACCAAGGGAACGAUGCGUAGCCGACCUGAGAGGGUGAUUGGCCAGAUUGGAAGUGAGAAACGGUCCAGACACCUAAGCGAGGCAGCAGUCGGGACUCCUACGCAAUGGGGGAAAGCCUGACGGAGCAACGCCGCGUGAGUGAUGAAGGUCUUAGGAUCGUAAAACUAUGUUAUUAGGGAAGAACAAAUGUGUAAGUAACUAUGCACGUCUUGACGGUACCUAAUCAGAAAGCCACGGCUAACUACGUG
rnacentral:rRNA from 1 species